GGUCCGUAGCUUUAAUUUCUAGACAAAUAUAUUUUCAAUGAUGAAAAGUAGGUGGACAGUUCUGUAGAAUCGAGGAGCCUGUUAUUGAGUGGUUGUCGUUUGUUUAUGUGUUACAUAUUUGUUAUUCGUUCAUUUUUUUAUAUAUAUAAAUAAGGCCGUUAGUUUUCUCGUUUGAAUUGUUUCACAUUGUCAUUUCGGUGCCUUUUAUAGCUGACUAUGUUAAUUUCUGUGUCAUUUUGGUCUCUUGUUGACAGUUGUCUCAUUGGCAAUCAUACCACAUAUUCUUUUUUUUUUUAUAUUAAAAGAUGAUAUAAUG
rnacentral:lncRNA from 1 species